AUCACCUUCGAUUCCAACAUGUUGUCUGUAGCUCUGCUGCUGCUUUUGGCUGCUGGAUCCAGUGUGAAGUGUGAGCAGCUGACCCAGCCAGCCUCUGCGACUGUGCAGCCAGGUCAGCGUCUGACCAUCAGCUGUCAGGUCUCUUAUGAUCUGGGCAUCUAUUUCACUCACUGGAUCAGACAACCUGCUGGGAAAGGACUGGAGUGGAUUGGUUACACAUGCCAAGGAUGCGAUCCAGUCUACAAAGAUUCUUUAACAAACAAGUUCAGUUUUACAGUGGAUUCUUCCAGCUUGUCUGUGACCCUG